AACGAACGCUGGCGGCAUGCCUAACACAUGCAAGUCGAACGAGACCUUCGGGUCUAGUGGCGCACGGGUGCGUAACGCGUGGGGACCUGCCCUUAGGUUCGGAAUAACUCCCCGAAAGGGGUGCUAAUACCGGAUAAUGUCUUCGGACCAAAGAUUUAUCGCCUUUGGAUGGGCCCGCGUUGGAUUAGCUAGUUGGUAGGGUAAAAGCCUACCAAGGCGACGAUCCAUAGCUGGUCUGAGAGGAUGAUCAGCCACACUGGGACUGAGACACGGCCCAGACUCCUACGGGAGGCAGCAGUGGGGAAUAUUGGACAAUGGGCGAAAGCCUGAUCCAGCAAUGCUGCGUGAGUGAUGAAGGCCUUAGGGUUGUAAAGCUCUUUUACCCGGGAUGAUAAUGACAGUACCGGGAGAAUAAGCUCCGGCUAACUCCGUG
rnacentral:rRNA from 1 species